CCCAGCUUGCUGGGGGAUUAGUGGCGAACGGGUGAGUAACACGUGAGUAACCUGCCCUUGACUCUGGGAUAAGCCUGGGAAACUGGGUCUAAUACCGGAUACGACCAUCUGACGCAUGUCAUGGUGGUGGAAAGCUUUUGUGGUUUUGGAUGGACUCGCGGCCUAUCAGCUUGUUGGUGGGGUAAUGGCCUACCAAGGCGACGACGGGUAGCCGGCCUGAGAGGGUGACCGGCCACACUGGGACUGAGACACGGCCCAGACUCCUACGGGAGGCAGCAGUGGGGAAUAUUGCACAAUGGGCGAAAGCCUGAUGCAGCGACGCCGCGUGAGGGAUGACGGCCUUCGGKUUGUAAMCCUYUUUCAGUAGGGAAGAAGCGAAAGUGACGGUACCUGCARAARAAGCGCCGGCWAACUACGUGCCASCAGCCGCGGUAAUACGUAGGGCGCAAGCGUUAUCCGGAAWUUAUKGGGCGWAAARAGCUCGUAGG
rnacentral:rRNA from 1 species